rnacentral:rRNA from 1 species
GAUGAACGCUGGCGGCGUGCCUAAUACAUGCAAGUCGAGCGAACGGACGAGAAGCUUGCUUUUCUGAUGUUAGCGGCGGACGGGUGAGUAACACGUGGAUAACCUACCUAUAAGACUGGGAUAACUUCGGGAAACCGGAGCUAAUACCGGAUAAUAUUUUGAACCGCAUGGUUCAAAAGUGAAAGACGGUCUUGCUGUCACUUAUAGAUGGAUCCGCGCUGCAUUAGCUAGUCGGUAAGGUAACGGCUUACCAAGGCAACGAUGCAUAGCCGACCUGAGAGUGUGAUCGGCCACACUGGAACUGAGACACGGUCCAGACUCCUACGGGAGGCAGCAGUAGGGAAUCUUCCGCAAUGGGCGAAAGCCUGACGGAGCAACGCCGCGUGAGUGAUGAAGGUCUUCGGAUCGUAAAACUCUGUUAUUAGGGAAGAACAUAUGUGUAAGUAACUGUGCACAUCUUGACGGUACCUAAUCAGAAAGCCACGGCUAACUACGUG